AACUUUUGGCAACGGAUCUCUUGGCUUUCGCAUCGAUGAAGAACGACGCGAACGCGCGAAACGUAAUGUGAAUUGCAGGAUUCAGUGAAUCAUCGAAUCUUUGAACGCACCUUGCGCUCCUCGGCAUUCCGAGGAGCAUGCCUGUUUGAGUGUCGUGAAGUCUCAUCGGAUAAGGGGUCCCUUGUGAAAGCGGGCCUCUUUUUCGGACUUGGACGGUCUUGCCUUCGCUCGAAGGCUCGUCUUCAAAUUCAUCGGCGAGGGUUUCCAGUCCCCCUACGAGACGCGUGAUAAGUCUUGCGUCGUCCGGGGGUAAGGAGCCCGCGUCUUUAUCACUCUUUUAACACCCUGACCUCAAAUCAGGCAGGACUACCCGCUGAACUUAAGCAUAUCAAUAAGCGGAGGCU
rnacentral:misc_RNA from 1 species